rnacentral:rRNA from 1 species
UUGCCCUAGUAACGGCGAGUGAAGCGGCAACAGCUCAAAUUUGAAAUCUGGCCCUCGUGGUCCGAGUUGUAAUUUGCAGAGGAUGCUUUUGGCGCGGUGCCUUCCGAGUUCCCUGGAACGGGACGCCGGAGAGGGUGAGAGCCCCGUACGGUUGGACGCCUAGCCUUUGUAUAGCUCCUUCGACGAGUCGAGUAGUUUGGGAAUGCUGCUCUAAAUGGGAGGUAAAUUUCUUCUAAAGCUAAAUACCGGCCAGAGACCGAUAGCGCACAAGUAGAGUGAUCGAAAGAUGAAAAGCACUUUGAAAAGAGGGUUAAAUAGCACGUGAAAUUGUUGAAAGGGAAGCGUUUGCGACCAGACCUUUUCCGGGCGGAUCAUCCGGUGUUCUCACCGGUGCACUUCUCCCGGUCUAGGCCAGCAUCGGUUUCCUUAGGGGGAUAAAGGCCUGGGGAACGUGGCUCCUUCGGGAGUGUUAUAGCCCCUAGCGUAAUACCCCUCGGGGGACCGAGGACCGCGCUCUAUGCAAGGAUGCUGGCGUAAUGGUCGUCAACGACCCG